rnacentral:tRNA from 1 species
GGCCGGAAGCUCAUGAGGUAUGAGCGGUCCCCUCAUAAGGGAAGGGCAGGAAGGUUCGAAUCCUCCGCGGCUCACCA